UGGGAAUUUGGACAAUGGGCGAAAGCCUGAUCCAGCAAUGCCGCGUGUGUGAAGAAGGCCUUCGGGUUGUAAAGCACUUUUGUCCGGAAAGAAAUCCUUGGCUCUAAUACAGUCGGGGGAUGACGGUACCGGAAGAAUAAGCACCGGCUAACUACGUGCCAGCAGCCGCGGUAAUACGUAGGGUGCAAGCGUUAAUCGGAAUUACUGGGCGUAAAGCGUGCGCAGGCGGUUUGCUAAGACCGAUGUGAAAUCCCCGGGCUCAACCUGGGAACUGCAUUGGUGACUGGCAGGCUAGAGUAUGGCAGAGGGGGGUAGAAUUCCACGUGUAGCAGUGAAAUGCGUAGAGAUGUGGAGGAAUACCGAUGGCGAAGGCAGCCCCCUGGGCCAAUACUGACGCUCAUGCACGAAAGCGUGGGGAGCAAACAGGAUUAGAUACCCUGGUAGUCCACGCCCUAAACGAUGUCAACUAGUUGUUGGGGAUUCAUUUCCUUAGUAACGUAGCUAACGCGUGAAGUUGACCGCCUGGGGAGUACGGUCGCAAGAUUAAAACUUAAAGGAAUUGACGGGGUCAUAGCUG
rnacentral:rRNA from 1 species